UGCGUAGGCGGCCGAGCAAGUCAGUUGUGAAAGCUAUGGGCUUAACCCAUAACGUGCAAUUGAAACUGUCCGGCUUGAGUGAAGUAGAGGUAGGCGGAAUUCCCGGUGUAGCGGUGAAAUGCGUAGAGAUCGGGAGGAACACCAGUGGCGAAGGCGGCCUACUGGGCUUCAACUGACGCUGAGGCACGAAAGCAUGGGUAGCAAACA
rnacentral:rRNA from 1 species